GACGAACGCUGGCGGCGUGCUUAACACAUGCAAGUCGAACGGUGAAGGGACCGGUUUUUGCUGUUUCUGGAUGAGUGGCGAACGGGUGAGUAACACGUGAGUAACCUGCCCCCUUCCUCUGGAUAACCGCAUGAAAGUGUGGCUAAUACGGGAUAUUCUGCGCCUGCUGCAUGGUGGGUGUGGGAAAGACAUUGUUUCGGUGGGGGAUGGGCUGGUGGCGGAUUAGCUUGUUGGUGGGGUGAUGGCCUACCAAGGAGGCGACGGGUGGCCGGCCUGAGAGGAGGGUCGGCGGUCAUGGAGGUGCGGAGAGGCGGAGAAGACUACUGCAGGAGGCAGCAGUGGGUAAUAGUGCACAAUGGGCGGAAUGCUGAUGCAGCGACGCGUCGGGAGGGAUGGCGGCCGGCGUGUUGUAAACCUCUUUCGCGAGUGAAGCAGGCCUGUCCCUUUUGUGGGUGGGUUGACGGUAGCUGGAGAAGAAGCGCCGGCUAACUACGUG
rnacentral:rRNA from 1 species